UACGUAGGGGGCAAGCGUUGUCCGGAAUUAUUGGGCGUAAAGAGCGUGUAGGCGGUCCGGUAAGUCAGCUGUGAAAGUCAAGGGCUCAACCCUUGAAAGCCGGUUGAUACUGUCGGGCUAGAGUCCGGAAGAGGCGAGUGGAAUUCCCGGUGUAGCGGUGAAAUGCGCAGAUAUCGGGAGGAACACCAAUGGCGAAGGCGGGUCUCUGGGCCGUAACUGACGCUGAGGAGCGAAAGCGUGGGGAGCGAACAGG
rnacentral:rRNA from 1 species